CUACGUGCCAGCAGCCGCGGUAAUACGUAUGUCACAAGCGUUAUCCGGAUUUAUUGGGCGUAAAGCGCGUCUAGGUGGUUAUGUAAGUCUGAUGUGAAAAUGCAGGGCUCAACUCUGUAUUGCGUUGGAAACUGCAUGACUAGAGUACUGGAGAGGUAAGCGGAACUACAAGUGUAGAGGUGAAAUUCGUAGAUAUUUGUAGGAAUGCCGAUGGGGAAGCCAGCUUACUGGACAGAUACUGACGCUAAAGCGCGAAAGCGUGGGUAGCAAACAGGAUUAGAUACCCUGGUAGUCCCGGCCGUAAACGAUGAUUACUGGGUGUGGGCAGGAAGACUGUCUGUGCCGAAGCGAAUGCGAUAAGUAAUCCGCCUGGGGAGUACGGCCGCAAGGCUGAAACUCAAAGGAAUUGACGGGGACCCGCACAAGCGGUGGAGCAUGUGGUUUAAUUCGACGCAACGCGAGGAACCUUACCAGAUCUUGACAUCCCG
rnacentral:rRNA from 1 species